CAACAACUCGUUGACCAUGUCUGUGUAUCUUAAUGCUUCAGGUAUGAUGAGGAUGUAAUUGUAAUUGGCACUAUCGCACCGCUGCACAUGGCCCACCGCCAUGAGUCGUCACUCGGCUAUGACGCGAAGCGACACGCCCACAAGGCGCGCAGGAGUUCGCCUCGUCUGGCUAGCAUGCUAAAUGCUAACGUGCCAUGUCAGCGGGGCGUGUGGGGACUCUGUGCUGGUCGGAGUGGUCGCACUGGGACACAGAGGCCCAGUCGACUGGAACAAUGAUGCUGUUGAGUUGGGAGCAUUUUGGACGGACUCUUGAAGGAUCAUUUUGAACAGCAUCCAGAGGAUGUGCUGGGUGGACCCGAGGCACUUUCCAGGAGCUUCCUGUUCCCCAAAAGUCAGAGGAUCUGAGGUUCGAGGACAGUCUCUGGCGACCAAGUUCUUCCCGGCUCGGCUGGUUUCCAGAGAGCACAGGACGGACCGGCAGCAAAGGGCGACUGUGGCCUCACUGAAGACGGUGUGACAGUGGAGGCCAUAAUCCGUGGCUUUCCUGUGCUGACCGCUCUCACAGAGCCCAGCCGGUGUUGGGUUUCCCUGCGAGCAGCUGGGCGAGGGUAUUUUGUGGUCCUCUUCAGUCCUCUUUGAAAGAGGAUAAGUCAGGAUAGGGUCCCUCCGUGAGCCCCUGAGGACCCUGCCGCUGCAUCGAAAACUCAAGAGAGACGUCCCUGUUGCGGCCGGCAUGAGCAGCUGGGAGACUUUGGCAGCAGGUGAACACAGCACCAGUGUGAAGGAGAAUAUCUGGCAAGAGAAGUGGAAGGUCUUGAAACAAUGUGGGAACUCAGGGUGUUAUAGAAUGGUUAAAAACCCCAAUGUUUUCAGUUUAGGAAGGUCCAGACAGGGAGGAUGUGCAGAGUAAUGCUUUUCCCCCCACAGAGGAAAUGGACAACUUUAGGAAGGGCCUUGACAGUGUGUCAAUUGGCCUGUCAUUCUAAGUGAUCUAUUUUUUCUUAAUUUUAGAAAGGCCUCAUGGUAUAAAUGGUUUCCUUGUAUUUUGCCUGGCCACACAGCUGGUGGAAAAUAGCUCUGUAGUGGGUUUUGCUUGGCCAGGCCGCUCAGUUUUAUUGGGAGGCCUGCACUGAAGGAUGAGUCGCACAGUCUGACUGGAGCGCGCCCAAGGCCUCUGGACAUCACACAGGCACUAAAAUCCAUAUGAAAGAUGUAUAAACAGCGACCGGUGUUUAUUUACUGCAUUCGACCCUCCUGUAUGUACCCGGUUCUUGCUAACUCUUACAAAAUUGAAGCCUGAUUGCAUUACUCUCAGUUCACUUUCAAAGAAUUAUGCAGCAUAUCCCAACACAGACAGACACACAAACAAAAGAACUAAAUACAUUAUACAUUACUCUGCAAUACAUUACUCUGCAAAAGUUACAGUGCCUUGUUUGCCCCGUCUCACUGCCAUAUGGCGCAGAUGUAACGUGUAUGUAUGGAUUCAUCUUUGCAAUGACACAAGUAGGCCAGCAGGACGUUAGUGUUUGAGGGCUCCCAUAACUUUUGAUUCAACACGUUUGUAAGUAAAAGUUAGGUACUGAACACAUACAAUUUUUUGCACUGCUGGUGGUGAAAGUUUUAUGGAUUAUAUUUCAGGAAAAUGCCCUUGCUGCGUUUGAACAUCCUAUACUCUAAUAUUCAUUCUCUGAGUACUCAACUUGUGGUUUAAAGGCGGCUGGGCACAUGAAAUGUACAUGUCAGCAGAAUUCUCAUCACUAUUGUGAAGAAACAUCUAGAGCUAUUCCCUUAUUUUUCUCUGGGAAAUCACAGAGCUGUGAUUAUGCUGCUGAGGUGGUCGAAAUAGGAGCCUGGGGAUUUUGAGACUGCUCUGAAUCUGGGAAAGGCAUGUCUGCUUCUGCUCCUCUGGGUUGGCGACCGACCUGUGAUAAUCCAAGAGAAGAGUGUCCACCGCAAACCACAAAACAGCUUCGCACACAACCGUACCACCCAAGUUAGCCCCAAGCAGUAGUUUGACAAAAUGAAGGCUAUGAAGAGGCAUAUUUGUGCUUCUAUUCAAGGCAGCUGAACAAGGGCACAAAUAAAAUCAAAGAUCAAAAAAAGUUUAGCAGUGCAUUAUUUUAUAUUCGCAAUAAGUAUAUAAUCAUGACACUCGGUUCCAAGCAUUUUUUUCACUCACUUUGCAUUGAUUUAUUUAUAUUGAUCUAACGGGAUGUAGUAUGGUUUUUUUCAGAAAGUGAACAGCGGGUAUACCUCAAGGAUCGGUGUUGGGUCCCUUACAAUUACACCACAACAGUGUCAAGCUAUAGAGUGGCAGAGGUGUAAACACACAGUUUAAAAACUUUUAGCUAAAUGUAACAAAACCAAUAUUUUUGUAUUGUUUAUUUUGUAUUCUUUCUUUUAUUUUGUCUAAUCUGUGCUGACAUUGCUAUGUAAUGCACUUUGUUUAUACUGUUGAUGUAAUGUUGUUCUUUUGAUUGUCCAAUUGGGAUUGUGGUACAAUACAUUGAUGUUUAUUAUCAUCCAUUGGCCCGUACUAGUAACGCAUGAAACAUGUUUUAUGUCACACCAUGAAGUUGCUUUAAACAAUCAUCUGACAAACAUUAAAUGCAUUAGCUUCUGUGUAAAAUGUUAUAUUUGACAUGUGCACUUGCUUUACUGUACUCCUGCAUUUUCUAAAUGGUUAUUUUAGAUGGAAAAACAGCCUAACUUUCAGAGAGAAAACUCACAUAUUUCCAAUCCUUUAAAUCUCCGCUCUGAGCCUUCAUGUUUUCAAUUUCAUCAGCUCAUAAGUUACGUGUCUUACACUAUCUGUCACAGCAUGUCCAGUACGUGUGGAAUGAUUUUUACCACGGCACAUAUUUUCUUCUUUUCUCACUGUGCGGGCACCUUGAGUUACAGCCACUUCAAAGUCUGGUGUUAGUGGUCCAUUACCUCUAGUAAUUAAAGUGUCGGUUUAAAUGGCAUCUCGCUGCUUUCUCUGGACUGUGAAAAAAAACAAUAAAAGGCAGAAAUUUCAU